rnacentral:rRNA from 1 species
GGGGGGGGGGGGGGGGGGGCGGGGGGGGGGCGGGGCGGGCGGGGGGAUGGGGAGCUUGCUCCGGGGCCGGUGGGGGCGGGGGGGGGGGUAACGCGUGGAUCCCCUACCUAUCAGCCUGUGCUACCUUCGGGGACCCGGCUCUAAUACCGGUUACCAUAUUGAACCUCAUUGGUCCAUCGUGCAACGCGGUUUUGCGUUCCCUUAUAGCGUGAUCCGCGCCGCAUUAGCUAGUUGGUACGGGAACGGCUUACCAAGGCGACGAUGCGUAGCCGACCUGAGAGGGUGAUCGGCCACACUGGAACGGAGACACGGUCCAGACGCCUACGGGAGGCAGCAGUAGGGAAUCUUCCGCAAUGGGCGAAAGCCUGACGGAGCAACGCCGCGUGAGUAAUGAAGGUCUUCGGAUCGUAAAACUCUGUUAUUAGGGAAGAACAAAUGUGUAAGUAACUAUGCACGUCUUGACGGUACCUAAUCAGAAAGCCACGGCUAACUACGUG